rfam:Lupinus angustifolius cultivar Tanjil contig_40338, whole genome shotgun sequence.
AGGCAACUUCCUCGAUACGAUUAUAUGGCGUGAGAGGUGUUAUACUACUCGUAAAUUAAAUUCUUUUGCUCUUCAGAUUUGCUGAGAUUUUUUCUCUGAAGCUGGUCUAGUAAGCUCUAGUACAUU